rnacentral:rRNA from 1 species
UACAGGGGGGGCAAGCGUUGUUCGGAAUUACUGGGCGUAAAGGGUUCGUAGGUGGCCAACUAAGUCAGACGUGAAAUCCCUCAGCUUAACUGGGGAACUGCGUCUGAUACUGGGUGGCUUGAGUGCAGGAGAGGAAUGCGGAAUUCCAGGUGUAGCGGUGAAAUGCGUAGAUAUCGUAAGGAAGACCAGUGGCGAAGGCGGGUCUCUGGGCAGUAACUGACGCUGAGGAGCGAAAGCGUGGGGGAGCGAACAGG